rnacentral:rRNA from 1 species
AGUAACGGCGAGUGAAGCGGCAACAGCUCAAAUUUGAAAUCUGGUCCCUAGGGCCCGAGUUGUAAUUUGUAGAGGAUGCUUUUGGUGAGGUGCCGCCCGAGUUCCCUGGAACGGGACGCCACAGAGGGUGAGAGCCCCGUCUGGCUGGCCGCCGAGCCUCUGUAAAGCUCCUUCGACGAGUCGAGUAGUUUGGGAAUGCUGCUCAAAAUGGGAGGUAUAUGUCUUCUAAAGCUAAAUAUUGGCCAGAGACCGAUAGCGCACAAGUAGAGUGAUCGAAAGAUGAAAAGCACCUUGAAAAGAGGGUUAAAUAGUACGUGAAAUUGUUGAAAGGGAAGCGCUUGUGACCAGACUUGGGCGCGGCGGAUCAUCCGGGGUUCUCUCCGGUGCACUUCGCCGCGUCUAGGCCAGCAUCAGUUCGUCGCGGGGGAAAAAGGCUUCGGGAACGUGGCUCCUCCGGGAGUGUUAUAGCCCGUUGCAUAAUACCCUGCGGUGGACUGAGGACCGCGCAUCUGCAAGGAUGCUGGCGUAAUGGUCACCAGCGACCCGUCUUGAAACACGGACCAAGGAGUCGUCUUCGUAUGCGAGUGUUCGGGUGUCAAACCCCUACGCGUAAUGAAAGUGAACGCAGGUGAGAGCUUCGGCGCAUCAUCGACCGAUCCUGAUGUUCUCGGAUGGAUUUGAGUAAGAGCAUACGGGGCCGGACCCGAAAGAAGGUGAACUAUGCCUGUAUAGGGUGAAGCCAGAGGAAACUCUGGUGGAGGCUCGCAGCGGUUCUGACGUGCAAAUCGAUCGUCAAAUAUGGGCAUGGGGGCGAAAGACUAAUCGAACCUUCUAGUAGCUGGUUUCCGCCGAAGUUUCCCUCAGGAUAGCAGUGUUGAGCUCAGUUUUAUGAGGUAAAGCGAAUGAUUAGGGACCCGGGGGCGCUAUAUUGCCUUCAUCCAUUCUCAAACUUUAAAUAUGUAAGAAGCCCUUGUUACUUAGUUGAACGUGGGCAUUCGAAUGUAUCAACACUAGUGGGCCAUUUUUGGUAAGCAGAACCGGCGAUGCGGGAUGAACCGAACGCGAGGUUAAGGUGCCAGAGUAGACGCUCAUCAGACACCACAAAAGGCGUUAGUACAUCUUGACAGCAGGACGGUGGCCAUGGAAGUCGGAAUCCGCUAAGGACUGUGUAACAACUCACCUGCCGAAUGUACUAGCCCUGAAAAUGGAUGGCGCUCAAGCGUCUCACCCAUACCUCGCCCUCGGGGUAGAAACGAUGCCCCGAGGAGUAGGCGGACGUGGAGGUCGUGA